rnacentral:lncRNA from 1 species
UCCGCGCAGUCUCCAAAUCGCUGUUGUUUAUAAACCUGAUGAUCAAAUGAUUUUGAGAAACAACAUCUGGACGUUGCAUUCUACAAAACACUUUAUGAGCAUCAUGGCAAGCAAGGCACUUUGCAUACAUUCGAAUAAGAGAUCUCUGAACAAAAACAUCACAAAGGAGACCUCUUUUGACGGCCUGUGCGUGGAGCGAUCAAUCAGCUCGGGGAUGGACCAGAACUCAUCAACGAGGCAGCAGAGGCAGAGGCCAGGGAGGUUGACGAGGGCCUCCUAGGUAGAGAUGGUAGAGCAGGCGAGAAGAGAGCCAAGCUUGAGGAAGGGGUGGAAGCAAGGUUGGGGGUCUGGAAGUAGCAUACGGUGAGGGAGAGCAGCCUCCAACAUAACGACACCUUGUGGAGAAGAACAAAGAAGAAGAACUAAGGUUAGGGAUCAAGUUGAGAAGUCUUGUAGUGAGAGCAGCGGAGUCCAUUUUCUCUUUUAUGUAGAAGGAAAGGGAGGAACGAAGGAAAAAGAAAGGAAGAUGAAAGUAAAGGGUAAGUUCGAUAUUUUUUAAAAUAAGAUGACGUCAAAAAGAUGUUUUGUUACUGUAGUAUAAAAGAAUGGACGGGAGUUAAAAGUUUUGGUCAACAAAAAUAUUUUGUUAGAAUGAAGUCAAAAAAGGGACCAGAAGUUAAUUACCUAUUAUUUUUGUUCCUCGAAUACAUUUGAAUAGGAAUCUAGUUAAUUUAUGUCAAUAAAGAAUGCCAAGAAAGUGUUAUGGUUCAGACACUGAUGGCAAAUUGGUCACCAUCUGCACUUUUUUUAAGAGAGCAAAAAAAAAAAACAUUCAGGUGCACAUUUUGUAGCUCAUACUACAUAACCCUCGCGUCUUUUUAGAAUGGAGAUUAAGCUGCAUCUCGUUUAUCAGCUAUACAUUGGAUGCGCAAUUUUGUAGACUCCGUGCAAGCUGCCAACUAGCCGUUCUUUUUAUCGUCUAAUACGUGUUAUACAGCUCAUAUUGUAUUAUAUUUUUAUUUUUCAGACCAACUAGAGGAAUGCUAUAAAUCAUUCCAAAGAAUGAUAGAAGAACCAUUCUGACAUCCUAACUUAGCAACUUCCACGCUACCACAUCUCGAGUACCCAAAUAUCAAUGAAUUCUAUGAAAACUGAUUCCUCUUGGGCAUUGCAUCAAAGAGGUCCUGAGCAAUCUCCUUCAGCCCAUAUCUCGCAUACCCAUCAACCAUAAUGCUCCAAAAAACCAUAUCUCUUAUCCAUUCCAUCGAAAACCUUCCGCACAGUCUCCAAAUCGCCGUUGUUUAUAAACCUGAUGAUCAAAUGAUUCUGAGAAACAACAUCUAGAUGUUGCAUUCUGCAAAACACUUUAUGAGCAUCAUGGCAAGCAAGGCACUUUGCAUACAUUCGAACAAGAGAUCUCUGAACAAAAACAUUACAAAGGAGGCCUCUUUUGAUGGCCUGUGCGUGGAGCGAUCAAUCAGCUUGGGAAUGGACCAGAACUCAUCAACGAGGCAGCAGAAGCAGAGGCCAGGGAGGUUGACGAAGGCCUCCUAGGUAGAGAUGGUAGAGCAGGCGAGAAGAGAGCCAAGCUUGGGGAAGGGGUGGGAGCAAGGUGGAGGGUCUGGAAGUAGCAUACGGUGAGGGAGAGCAGCCUCCAACAUGGCCGACACCUUAUGAAAAAGAACAAAGAAGAAGAACUAGGGUUAGAGAUCAAGUUGAGAAGCUUUGUAGUGAGAGCAGCGGAGUCCAUUUUCUCUUUUAUGUUGAAGGAAAGGGAGGAACGAAGAAAAAAGAAAGGAAGAUGAAAGUAAAGGGUAAGUUCGAUAUUUUUUAAAAUAAGAUGACGUCAAAAGGAUAUUUUAUUACUGUAGUAUAAACGAAUGGACGGGAGUUAAAAAUUUUGGUCAACAAAAAUAUUUUGUUAGAAUGAAGUCAAAAAAGGGACCAGCAGUUAAUUACCUAUUAUUUUUGUUCCUCGAAUACAUUUGAAUAGGAAUCUAGUUAAUUUAUGUCAAUAAAGAAUGCCAAGAAAGUGUUAUAGUUCGGACACUGAUGGUAAACUGGUCACCAUCUGUACUUUUUUUAAGAGAGCAAAAAAAAAAAGUUCGGGUGCACAUUUUGUAGCUCAUACUACAUAACCCUCGUGUCUUUUUAGAAUGGAGAUCAAGCUACAUCUUGUUUAUCAGCUAUACAUUGGAUGCGCAAUUUUGUAGACUCCGCGCAAGCUGCCAACUAGCCGUUCUUUUUAUCGUCUAAUACGUGUUAUACAGCUCAUAUUGCAUUAUUUUUUUAUUUUUCAGACCAACUAGAAGAACGCUAUAAAUCAUUCCAAAGAAUGAUAGAAGAACCAUUCCGACAUCCUAACUUAGCAACUUCCACGCUACCACAUCUCGAGUACCCAAAUAUCAAUGAAUUCUAUGAAAACUGAUUCCUCUUGGGCAUUGCAUCAAAGAGGUCCUGAGCAAUCUCCUUCAGCCCAUAUCUCGCAUACCCAUCAACCAUAAUGCUCCAAGAAACUAUAUCUCUUAGCCAUUCCAUCGAAAACCUUCCGCACAAUCUCCAAAUCGCCGUUGUUUAUAAACCUGAUGGUCAAAUGAUUCUGAGAAACAACAUCUGGAUGUUGCAUUCUGCAAAACACUUUAUGAGCAUCAUGGCAAGCAAGGCACUUUGCAUACAUUCGAAUAAAAGAUCUCUGAACAAAAACAUUACAAAGGAGGCUUCUUUUGACGGCCUGUGCGUGGAGCGAUCAAUCAGCUCGGGGAUGGACCAGAACUCAUCAACGAGGCAGCAGAGGCAGAGGCCAGGGAGGUUGACGAGGGCCUCCUAGGUAGAGAUGGUAGAGCAGGCGAGAAGAGAGCCAAGC